rnacentral:rRNA from 1 species
UACGUAGGGUGCGAGCGUUGUCCGGAAUUAUUGGGCGUAAAGAGCUUGUAGGUGGUUUGUCGCGUCUGCUGUGAAAUCCCGAGGCUCAACCUCGGGUCUGCAGUCGAUACGGGCAAACUAGAGUAUUGCAGGGGAGACUGGAAUUCCUGGUGUAGCGGUGAAAUGCGCAGAUAUCAGGAGGAACACCGGUGGCGAAGGCGGGUCUCUGGGCCGAUAUUGACGCUGAGGAGCGAAAGCGUGGGGAGCGAACAGG